GGGGCUUCCAGAGAGGCCUCCGUGUAGGCCUCCCUGAAGCCUGGACUUGGCAUUCCCCAGCAAGCCAGGAAGGAGGCAGGAAGAGUUCUCUGCAGCAGACUCUCUGCCCAGACCAUCCAACACAGCUUUUGCAAGGAUGGGAUGCGUGGGGACGUGGCAGAAAGGAGGCGAUUGGCUGACAGAGGGGGAAACAUGCAAGAGUUCUAGCCAUGCAUCCCGAGAGCACUGGCAACCAUCGCCACCCUGAAAAGAACGGCCCUGGCCCGCCCACACAGAGAUGGUCGUGGCGGCGGGCCCUGCCCUGCCCACACAGAGGAAGCAGCGGUGGGCCAGCCUAGCCUGGCUGCCAGGAGAAGGAGGUGCUUCCUCCAGUGUUCUGACCUCCAUCUCCAGUUGCUCUUCCAUGCAAGUACCUUCCAAUGAAAACACAAACAGAAAGGAAACCCGCCACCUUCCUUCCACCCAGUCACCCCUGAAGCCAAAGAGCUGUGAAGUCUCAAGGACAGCUAUUAAGUACAUGCCAUUAGGAGAUCACUUUAAACCUUCUAUGCAGACAGAGGUGGGGGACUUCUUUGUGACUAAUCUGAAAUUUCCCUUUAUUCUCUCUCUCUCUCUCCCUCCCUCCCUCCCUCAUUGUGGCAACUGAUAUUUAAGCCAUUCCUAUUCUUUUUUUAAUAAAGGCAUUUAGUGUACAUGCA